rnacentral:rRNA from 1 species
AGUGAACGCUGGCGGCGUGCUUAACACAUGCAAGUCGAACGAGAACGGAUUAUAGCUUGCUAUAAUUGUCAGCUAAGUGGCGCACGGGAGAGUAAUGUAUAGGUAAUAUGCCUCUUACUACGGGAUAACAAAUGGAAACGUUUGCUAAUACCUUAUACUCCUUAUUAACAGAAGUUAAUAAGGGAAAGAUUUAUUGGUAAGGGAUUAGCCUGUAUUGUAUCAGUUAGUUGGUGGGGUAAUGGCUUACCAAGACUAUGACACAUAACUGGUUUGAGAGGAUGAUCAGGCACACUGGAUGUGGGAGACGGUCGAGACUCCUAGGGGAGGGAGGAGUGGGGAAUAAUGCCCAACGGACGGAGGUAUGAUGCAGCAACGCCGCGUAGAGGAUGACACAUUUCGGUGCGUAAACUCCUUUUAUAUGAGAAGAUAAUGACGGUAUUAUAUGAAUAAGCACCGGCUAACUCCGUGCCAGCCGCCGCGGUAA